rnacentral:rRNA from 1 species
UACGGAGGGAGCUAGCGUUGUUCGGAAUUACUGGGCGUAAAGCGACAGUAGGCGGCUUUGUAAGUUAGAGGUGAAAGCCCGGGGCUCAACUCCGGAACUGCCUUUAAGACUGCAUCGCUUGAAUCCAGGAGAGGUGAGUGGAAUUCCGAGUGUAGAGGUGAAAUUCGUAGAUAUUCGGAAGAACACCAGUGGCGAAGGCGGCUCACUGGACUGGUAUUGACGCUGAGGUGCGAAAGCGUGGGGAGCAAACAGG